rnacentral:tRNA from 1 species
GAUAAAAUGGCCGAGAUCUAAAGCAUAAGAUUGUAAAUCUUAUUAUGAAUAAUAUAUUCUUUUAUCA